rnacentral:rRNA from 1 species
AUUGAACGCUAGCGGCAGGCUUAAUACAUGCAAGUCGAGGGGUAGCAAGAUUGUAGCAAUACAAUUGUUGACGACCGGCAAACGGGUGCGGAACACGUACACAACCUUCCUACAAGUGGGGAAUAGCCCAGAGAAAUUUGGAUUAAUACCCUGUAACAUAGCGAUGUGGCAUCACAUUGCUAUUAUAGCUUCGGCGCUUGUUGAUGGGUGUGCGGCUGAUUAGAUAGUUGGCGGGGUAACGGCCCACCAAGUCUACGAUCAGUAGCUGAUGUGAGAGCAUGAUCAGCCACACGGGCACUGAGACACGGGCCCGACUCCUACGGGAGGCAGCAGUAAGGAAUAUUGGACAAUGGACGCAAGUCUGAUCCAGCCAUGCCGCGUGAAGGAUUAAGGUCCUCUAGAUUGUAAACUUCUUUUAUAAGGGACGAAAAAAGGUCUUUCUAGAUCGUCUGACGGUACCUUAUGAAUAAGCACCGGCUAACUCCGUGCCAGCCGCCGCCGUAACAC